AGAUUAAGCCAUGCAUGUCUCAGUACUUGCUUUUACAAGGCGAAACCGCGAAUGGCUCAUUAAAUCAGUUAUGGUUCACUAGAUCGUAAAUUUUACACGGAUAACUGUGGUAAUUCUAGAGCUAAUACGUGCAACCAGCUCGCUUCCUUGUGGAGCGAGCGCAGUUAUUAGAACAAGACCAAUCCGGCCUUCGGGUCGGUACAUUUGGUGACUCUGAAUAACCGAAGCGGAGCGCAUGGUCUCGUACCGGCGCCAGAUCUUUCAAGUGUCUGACUUAUCAGCUUGUUGUUAGGUUAUGUUCCUAACAAGGCUUCAACGGGUAACGGGGUAUCAGGGUCCGAUACCGGAGAGGGAGCCUGAGAAACGGCUACCACAUCCAAGGAAGGCAGCAGGCGCGCAAAUUACCCACUCCUAGCACAGGGAGGUAGUGACGAAA
rnacentral:rRNA from 1 species